rnacentral:tRNA from 1 species
GGACCCGUCGCUCCCCUGGCGCGGGCCACGAGCGGACUUUUAAUCCGCGGGUCGUGGGUUCGAGCCCCACGGGUCCC